CUGCACCCAGCCUGUUCUUGCAUAUAUUUUAUUAAGAUUUUAUUUAUUUAUAUUUUUGAUACUACUGUAAAUGUUAACUUUUUAUAAAUUACAUUUUUACCUGUUUGUUGCUGGCAUACAGAAAUGCAACUGCAGAAGUGCCAAAUAAAUUGUUAAUUCUUAUGAUUUAGCUAUAGAUAUUCUUUUGUUUUCUAUGUAAUCUAGUCUCUAAUUAGGUUUGUCUCUUUCUUCCUUUAUUAGCUAUCUACUGGUGUAUAAUGAAUUACCUCACACUUAGUGGCUUAAAACAUGUACUUAUUAACUCACAGUUUCUGUUGGUCUCCUGCUCAGGGUCUCACAAGGCUGUAAUCAAGGUGACAGCCAGACUGUGGUCCUUUUUAAAAUGUAGUGUCCUCUUCUAAGUUCAGGUGGUUGUUGGCAGGAUUCAGCUAUCUGAGGCUGUAGGAUGGAGUCCCUGCAUUGUUCUGGCUGUCAGCUGGGGGUUUCCAUCAGCUCCUAGUGGUCCCCAAGGUUUCUUGACAGGUGGCUCAUUCACAGGCCUUUUUACAACAUGAUAGUGCACUCUAGUCCGCUAACAAGGAGUCUUCUGUAACAUCACAUAAUCACAAGAGUAACUAUUCCAUUACUUUUGCCAUAUAAUAUGAACCAGUCAAAGGAGUGACUACCCCAUCACCUUAGCCAUAUUCUAUCGUUGAAAGCAAGUCUCAG
rnacentral:lncRNA from 1 species